rnacentral:lncRNA from 1 species
GCCUGACAUCUUCAGCCGCGGGGCUCCUGGACUUUAAAAUGUGUGUGAAAGGCUGGGGGUGUCGCUCGGAGGUAGAGCGCUGGCCUAGCAUGCAUGAGGCCCUGGAUUCCAUCCCCAGCACCAAACAAACAGAAGAGAGGGGAGAAGAGUCAAUUUUUUCCUUAGAAUUCCAAAAAGCCUGAGUAACCCCAGAGCCCUAGAAAGGAGCUUAACUCCUUUCCCAUCCCCCGCCCUCCACCCAGAGGAUAAUGUAUGGAAAAGUGAAAAAUAGCGACUUUGCAAUGGCAGACACCUGGCAGAUGCCACCUUAAGGAAACGUCAUAGUUCUCUCUCAUUGGUACCCAGAUGAAACGUCAUAGUUCUCUCUCAUUGGUACCAUGUGUCUUUCUGCUAGUAUCUGAGGACACCUCCUGUCUGUGGUUUCUUUCAGAAACUCAUCACCACAGGCUGUUGUUGAGAAAAAUAAAUAACAGACAAGCCCACAUCGAAGAACAGUCAACAGAAUACCCGACCAGUGCUCUACAAACGAAUCCAGAGUUGUUGUAGACUGGAGGGGACUGAGGAGGCAUGAGGACUGGAUGGUCCUGGACGCAAUUCUGUACCAGAAAGAGGCCGUGUGGAAAACUGAUGAAGUCUGGAGAAAGCCUUGAGUUUUGUAAAUAGCAACACAGCCAAGAAAUGCCUUUUCACGCUGGGCCUGGGGGUAAUCCCAGUGGCUCAGGAAGCUGAGGCAGGAGGAUGGGCAGCCUCAGUUCAAAAAGUUCAAAGCCAGCCUCAGCAACUUAGCAGGCGCUCAGUGAGACCCCCAUCUCUAAAUACAAUACAAAAUAGAGCUGAGCAUGUGGCUCAGUGGUGGGGUGCUCCUGAGUUCAAUCUCUGGUACCCUUCCCCCAAAAAAAUGCGUUUGUCUUCUUUUAUUUUAUUAUUUUUAUUAUUAUUUUUUUUGGUAAGAAAUGAGGUCUCGCCAUGUUGCCCAGGCUGGCCUUCAACUCCCAGUUCAAAUGAUCCCUGUUCCUCACCACAGCCGUCUGCCAAGCUGGAACUACAGAUGGGCACCACUGUACCCUAUUACUUUUUCUAUGCCUGCAUUUUUUUUUUUAAGAACUUUGAAUGAUAGGUGUAAAUUUUUUUUUUUUUUUGAGAGAGAGAGAGAGAGAAUCUUAAUAUUUAUUUAUUUAUUUUUUUAGUUUUCGGCGGACACAACAUCUUUGUAUGUGGUGCUGAGGAUUGAACCCGGGCUGCACGCAUGCCAGGCGAGCGUGCUACCGCUUGAGCCACAUCCCCAGGCCCUCUGUGCCUGCAUUUAUCUUUAGAAAAAUAGGAUACUUUUGGUACCAUUUGAUAACUUUUUUUAAAAAUUUAAUUUUUUUUUUAGUUUAAUGAUCUUCAUUGGCUUCACUUUCAAUUCUAGAAUUGGGCGAUGCUUCAGUCCAUUAAGUAGAGAAAGUGUUUCCUUAUAACUUUUUCAUUUAAGUGUUAGUGAAGCCAGAAUUAGACAGGCAGUCAGUGUAGAUAGGUAAAUCGAGUCAGGUCGGAUCAAGGAGGCCAAUUUUGAGUGAGUCUGGGGUGUUGGAGACUGUCCCCUGGGGGAUUAAAAUGUUAAUUCCUUCAGAGCCCUUCCUCUACUCUUAGCAAGAGCCUGCCCCUGCUCCAACCUGCUUCCAAGGUAACCUGUCGCAGGAAUUUGCUCUCCCUGCAGGAAGCCAUAAGGUUGUUAAUGUGCCCGGGGCUACUCACCCUGCUCUUCCCUCUUCAGCCCACCUGUUUCCCACUUUUGGUCCUCCCAUGGGGCAUUCCUGGGCCUUGUCACGUAUGCAGGAAGAAGGAUAGAAGGAUAAGGGGGAAAGGGCAGGAGAACAAAGGAAGCCCAGGACAGACACAGAAAAAGGGCAGAACGCCUCGCUUCUGGGGAUACCAGGAUACCAGCUACGGCCCCCUUCUCCCUCGCGGGCAAAGUCUGUUACCCCUUUUUAAAUAAACCCUGCUUUAUAUA